rnacentral:lncRNA from 1 species
UACAACCUAAAACUCUCUCUAAAGGUUCUCACGUAGUUCAAGAGCUAAUCCUUAGGUGCUCAAAGUGAAUCAAACGCUUGAAACCUUGUGGUGGCUAUUUUCAGAGAUUUCUUCAUGGUGAAGUAAGCUUGAGUUGGAGCUGUUCUUGAUGAUUGAAUAUGAGAUUAUGACUCUUCUACUUUUUCUUGAGCUUAUCUAAUUCAUAGUUAUCUUAUCGUUAAAGAACUUGUAAGAUAAAAGGAGUAAAAACCAUCUUUGAUGUGUUGUAGUUUUUAGACUGUUUUGGAAUAUUUUUGAGCUAUAUUGUCGCAGAAAAAUUAUGGAGAACAACUUGGGUUUGUUUUUAUUGAUCGUGUUAUUAUUCUUAUGGAGAAAGCAAGGUUCUGGUUGUGGCUAUGAGAUGAGCUCGUCGCUCAAUACGCUAUAUUCUAGUUUCCUUUUCAUUGACGAAAGUCCUAUUGCCGUUUAUGAUUGUUGUUGCUGCGCCACUUAUUGGCUGAUUAUGAGCUUAAUUCUAAGUUAAAUUCAUGGAUGGUUUACGUGGAAAGAGGGCUGGUUAUGUGUUGCUGGUUGUGUUGCUCGAUUUAAAAAAAGAAGAAGUUGGAAAUGUGCCAUUUAGUAAUCUGAGAUCGAGCUUAUCGCUCAUUACUUUAUUGUUGAGUUGCUGGCUGGUUGUAGUCAUUAUUAUGCCUAUUGUAGGCUUGGGGAAAGUACUAAAAUAAGGGGAGAUGCUACUCGAUUUUUUAUAGUAACGAGUUAUCAUUUAAUAUACGUCGCAUACUGGUUUUCUUUAAGUUAACAAACGUAUUGUCAUUGUUAUAGGUUGAGGUGCUACUCGGGAAAAGUUUGUUUUCGAGUUGGUACAGACGACGAGAGGCAUGUAAUUGCUAUCCAUUUUCUUUUAUUGGCAUGAAUCUGUAGUAAGUACGAGUUGGAUGAAUCUUAUACGAGAA